rnacentral:misc_RNA from 1 species
GAUGAAGAACGUAGCGAAAUGCGAUAAGUAAUGUGAAUUGCAGAAUUCAGUGAAUCAUCGAAUCUUUGAACGCACAUUGCGCCCAUUAGUAUUCUAGUGGGCAUGCCUGUUCGAGCGUCAUUAAGUCCACUUAAGCCCUGCUUAGUGUUGGGAGACUGCUCCAGCGGUGCUACCCUGUAGCUACCCUACAGCUCCUCAAAGACAGCGGCGGAGUUGUGGUAUCCUCUGAGCUUAGUAACUUGUUCUAGCUUUCGAGUACACCACUUCCCCUGCCGUAAAACCCUUAAUUUUUAAUGGUUGACCUCGGAUCAGGUAGGAAUACCCGCUGAACUUAAGCAUAUCAAUAAGCGGAGGA